rnacentral:misc_RNA from 1 species
UCCGGUUUGUCACCGGCAGUCUCAUUAGAGUGCCCUUUCGUAGCAACUAAUGACAAGGGUUGCGCUCGUUGCGGGACUUAACCCAACAUCUCACGACACGAGCUGACGACUGCCAUGCACCACCUGUGAUCCUGCCCCGAAGGGAAGCCCUGUUUCCAGGACGGUCAGGAACAUGCCAAGCCCAGGUAAGGUUCUUCGCGUUGCAUCGAAUUAAUCCGCAUGCUCCGCCGCUUGUGCGGGCCCCCGUCAAUUCCUUUGAGUUUUAGCCUUGCGGCCGUACUCCCCAGGCGGGGCGCUUAAUGCGUUAGCUGCGGCACGGAACCCGUGGAAUGGAUCCCACACCUAGCGCCCAACGUUUACGGUGUGGACUAC